AGUCUGUGUCAGCAGUGCCAAAAAUGUCUUUUUUCUUUUAUUUGUGCCACACAGCAUCCCGCUGCAGGAUCACCUGGCCUCUGCAAACUCCUCUGGGACGCUUUGCAAUUUCAGCCUGGGAGACCUUGCGUGCUCCUCGGUAAGGAUUACCUGGAGUUUACUGGCAAAUGCCUUCGGCAGUGCUGGCAGGCAUCGCUUGGUGUUUUGACAUCCGACGGCAUAAGUGGUGCUUGGGCCCCGUUGUCAUGAAUCACAUUUUCCUUUUCUUCCUCAAGGUGGAAUCUCUAUCAGCGGACAGCUUGGUCACACUGCUGGAGUGCAAACUUCCCAACAGCAACAGUUACCCCAUAGAAACCUGGAAGGCGUUCUUUGCCAAAGUGGCCGGCGUUCUGGAUGAGGCCCUCGUCCGAUAUUCCGACAAGGUAGAUGUGGUUCUCCAGUCUUAUCCGACGCCUCGGCAUCAUUUGCAGGCCUGGUUAUGAACACACUUUUCUCCCCAUUACAGGCCCGGAACCUCACUCAGUCCUUGUCCACGGUUCUCGAUGUGAUAGGAGAGGUCAAACUCAACAAUUUCACUGAAGCACAGUUCAAAGACGAAGCCUUCAUCAGCCGGUGGUUCAACAUCAGACUGGGGCCAUUUUUACCAUCUGUGACCGCAAAGUUCCUGUCAUGCCUUACCACCAAGAGUUUCAGUUGUGAGACCUUCCAAGCUGUGUACGUGCAGAAACUCUAUUGACAAACAAUGCUUGAUGCAAUUUCACUUCUGCUCACGAGCAAGGCGAUCUUAUCCUUGUUCAUGUGUUUAUCCAUUCAGGGUGGCAGCUCUCAGCAACCGGUCAACAUCCAUGGAUGAGGAGCAAAGGCGAACCAUCUUCACUCGCUUCCUGUAUCCGUUCCUCUCAAGAGGAAACUCAUCAGAUCCUGGCUGCAUCACUGGCACCCUAGGCAGCAAAGACUGGCUUCAGAAGAACUUUGGCGACUUUGCGGUUUACGCGCCACUGGAAGAUCUACAAAAACUCAAUGGCAAUUUCUCCAGCGUAAGUCCCUUCCAUCAUUUCCUGAUCAUUCACAUCAAAUCACCUGUUAGCUUCCCGGCCGAGCACGUCCCUAACUGCUUUUUCAUCGCACGCUGUAGUUUGAGUCUCUGGAACUGCUGACGCCAUCCCAGGCAGCACAGCUGACUCUGACUUCCGGAGCACUGAAUGACUCCACAAAAAUGGAGGCCAUCUUUGAUCGCCUAGAGGAGGGAGAUGCUCUUCAAAAUGUUGACCAGUUUCUGACAGCACUGAGCGUGGCUCCCGAGGUAAUUCACGCCAUCCACUCAAGACGACAAAGAUUCCCAGCGCACCGUGCUGGUGCCCUUCAUAGGGGAUAUGAACGCUCAUUUCUCUCCUGUCUCCACAGAUUCCAGAUAUUGCCCCUCCCGUGAGAGACCUUGCCAUGAACCGCACCUUCAACAUCAUCAGUGUUCAUUUCCCGCAGUUUGAGGUAUCGGCCUGGAUCGCCUGGUUCCACGUGAAACUAAUUCCUGUCCUCCCCAGUUUCACUACAGAGAUGCUCACUCAAACCACUGCACAGACAAACUGCACCAACUACCAAGUCAUGUAAGCACUGUGUAUAUCUCUGAUGGCUCUUCAGUGCAAGACCUGAAUGAUGCAAGUUAUCGUGGCAGUAGAAGAACAUCAUGACGGCUGGCAAACUUAGGAAACUUUAAUAUCUGAACAUUUUUUCUCUCGUAGUGUGAAAGGAAUGGGCAAGGUCUCCAAGAAAAUGCCCCUCACCAGAAGAAAGGGAAUUGCCAACGUCCUUGUGAAACAUCUGAAGCAGUUCUUGGCCACGUUCAAC
ensembl:lncRNA